rnacentral:lncRNA from 1 species
UGCAAAUACUACCGUGCCACCUACAGGGGGGUAAUUCAAAUUAACAAAUAUAGGUCAUCGUAUGGUCUUUUAAUGAGCAAAGCCCAUACCGUAUAGUUAGCAAUUUAAGACCCCGAAAUGACAAAUGUAAAACAAUUCAGACGCGAAAACUAACGGCCUAAUUUAUGUACAAAAAAUGAAUGAAUAACAAACAUGUAACACAUC